rnacentral:lncRNA from 1 species
GAAAUUUGCUGUUCCAACUUUAUUGAUGUCAGGUGGGUUCAUAAGCAUUGUUUUUCAUUUUACUUGUAAUUUUUUUCAAAUCAUCAGUUGCUUGUUUAUCUGCACAAUCGAUUUAUACACUUGCACAAACGAACAUUUAAAUAAACAAAAAUAGUUUAUAGAUAGGCAUUUAGAAAAUCCAGUUUCAGUCUGUUCGUGGUGGUUCUGUGUAAUAUUUUCAAUAUUUUUAUGACAAAUACUAUAUUACUGAAAAACAAAAACUUUUGACAAUAACAUUUAGCUUUCAAUUUUGCCUCUUAAAAUUGUGUUUGUGUUAUGCUCAAAAAAAUUAAAUAAAUAUAUUUUUGUAGACAAUUCCAUGAUGGAAGUUGAAGCUACUAUUCCUGCUGUUCCUAUUACAUCUGAAGCGGUUUCAGAAUCUACUUCACCAGAUGUAAUUGCUAUUCCAUCAACAUCCAAGGAAGUUACAUCUGAAGCUGUUUCGGAAUCUACUUCACCAGAUGUAAUCGCUAUUCCAUCAACAUCCAAGGAAGUUACAUCUGAAGGUCAGUAAAAUAUUUUAUAAACACAAGGCUGAAUACAGGGUGGCGCACCUCAUUCAUCUUGGUUGAUUAUACGAAAACGUAAAGAUAUAGAAACAAAAUAUUUUAUGGGUAUAUGUGGAAAGACAAUGUACUUAAUUUAAAAUUAUUUUAAAAUGUACAGGGUGUGUCAGGACUAAGAUCCAUACCAAAGUUAUAUUUUUUCUUAUGGAACACACGGUAUUUUAUUUCACUUUGGGAUUCUUGGACAUAAAAUAAGGUAUUUAUUAUAAGGGUUUAAUAUGUUUAAAAGGUUUGGUUUUUGAGAUAUUUAAAUACAUUUAAAUAUGCAUGUUAUAAUAACAAAGUUU